GAAGUAAUAGAAGAUUUUCUCACCGUCAUUAUUUUUUCCUUAUAAAUAUAUGGUGACCUAACAACUCUUUUCCUCACACCCUCGAAAGAAAUAUAACAGAUCAAACAAGCCCAGCUUCUCAAUGGCUGCUAAUUCUCUGAAACUAUUUGCCACUCUCUCUCUUCUGUUUAUGCUCCUCUUUGCAACUGGUAAUUCAUUCAUAUCCUCGAUAGUUUAACGUUAACACAUCCUAUUUUACGUUUAAUGAGAAACUACUUUUUUUUUUUAAUAAUCACAGAAAUAUUAUAAUGUGUUUAAGAGCAUAAACUUUAAAAUAUUUCUGUUGCUAGUCAUAUAAAAAAUAUCUACGGCAUGUUUAAGAGUACAAGCUAAGUGUGAACAAUGUUUAAGUCUUUCGUAGGAGUUGAAAGAAUCACAUAGGUACUACUUAAUACGUAAUAAUUUGCAGAAAUGGGAGUGACGGCAGAAAUGGGAGUGACAACAGAAAUGGAAGUGAUUUUACUUUUUUUUUUUUUUUUUUGAAUUUUGAAUCAAUAAUAAUGAAGUUCAAGUCUAGUUAAUUAAGAACAGGACUCCCUGUUAUUUAAUUAAUUAAGAUUGACGAUGUAAUAAAUAAGAGUUGCAUGGUUUUGUUCCUUAAGAUUAUUAUGUGUGGAUGUAAUUGAAAAAGUUGUAU
rnacentral:lncRNA from 1 species